rnacentral:rRNA from 1 species
CCUACGGGCGGCAGCAGUGGGGAAUAUUGCACAAUGGGGGAAACCCUGAUGCAGCGACGCCGCGUGAGUGAAGAAGUAAUUCGUUAUGUAAAGCUCUAUCAGCAGGGAAGAAAAUGACGGUACCUGAGUAAGAAGCCCCGGCUAACUACGCGCCAGCAGCCGCGGUAAUACGUAGGGGGCAAGCGUUAUCCGGAUUUACUGGGUGUAAAGGGAGCGUAGACGGCAGUGCAAGUCUGGAGUGAAAGGCGGGGGCUCAACCCCCGGACUGCUCUGGAAACGGUACGGCUGGAGUGCAGGAGAGGUAAGUGGAAUGCGUGGUGUAGCGGUGAAAUGCAUAGAUAUUAGGAGGAACACCAGUUGCGAAGGCAGCUUACUGGACUGUAACUGACGUUGAGGCUCGAAAGCGUGGGUAGCAAACAGGAUAAGAUACCCGAGUAGUC